GAUGAACGCUGGCGGCGUGCUUAACACAUGCAAGUCGAACGGACAGGCCCUGCUUUUGUGGGGUGCUCGAUUGGCGAACGGGUGUGUAACACACGAGUAACAUCCCCCUGACUUUGGGGUAAAUUCAGGAAACUGGGGCUAAUACCGGAUAGGAUCUCCUGCUCCAUGUUGUGCGUUGGUAAGAUUCGGCGGGUGGGGCUGGACUCGCGGCUUAUCAGCUUGUUGGUGGGGGAGGGGCUGACCAAGGCUUUGACGGGUAGCCGGCCUGAGAGGGUGAACGGCCACAUUGGGACUGAGAUACGGCCCAGACUCCUACGGGAGGCAGCAGUGGGGAAUAUUGCACAAUGGGCGGAAGCCUGAUGCAGCAACGCCGCGUGCGGGAUGACGGCCUUCGGGUUGUAAACCGCUUUCGCCUGUGACGAAGCGUGAGUGACGGUAAUGGGUAAAGAAGCACCGGCUAACUACGUG
rnacentral:rRNA from 1 species